GAUGAACGCUGGCGGCGUGCCUAAUACAUGCAAGUCGAGCGAACAGACGAGGAGCUUGCUCCUCUGACGUUAGCGGCGGACGGGUGAGUAACACGUGGAUAACCUACCUAUAAGACUGGGAUAACUUCGGGAAACCGGAGCUAAUACCGGAUAAUAUAUUGAACCGCAUGGUUCAAUAGUGAAAGACGGUUUUGCUGUCACUUAUAGAUGGAUCCGCGCCGCAUUAGCUAGUUGGUAAGGUAACGGCUUACCAAGGCGACGAUGCGUAGCCGACCUGAGAGGGUGAUCGGCCGCACUGGAGCUGGGACACGGUCCAGACUCCUACGGGAGGCAGCAGUAGGGAAUCUUCCGCAAUGGGCGAAAGCCUGACGGAGCAACGCCGCGAGAGUGAUGAAGGUCUUCGGAUCGUAAAACUCUGUUAUUAGGGAAGAACAAAUGUGUAAGUAACUAUGCACGUCUUGACGGUACCUAAUCAGAAAGCCACGGCUAACUACGUG
rnacentral:rRNA from 1 species